CCUACGGGCGGCUGCAGUGGGGAAUAUUGGACAAUGGGCGAAAGCCUGAUCCAGCCAUGCCGCGUGUGUGAAGAAGGCCUUCGGGUUGUAAAGCACUUUCAGUGGGGAAGAAAGCCUUGGGGCUAAUACCCUCGAGGAAGGACAUCACCCACAGAAGAAGCACCGGCUAACUCCGUGCCAGCAGCCGCGGUAAUACGGAGGGUGCGAGCGUUAAUCGGAAUUACUGGGCGUAAAGCGCGCGUAGGCGGUCUGAUAAGCCGGUUGUGAAAGCCCCGGGCUCAACCUGGGAACGGCAUCCGGAACUGUCAGGCUAGAGUGCAGGAGAGGAAGGUAGAAUUCCCGGUGUAGCGGUGAAAUGCGUAGAGAUCGGGAGGAAUACCAGUGGCGAAGGCGGCCUUCUGGACUGACAUUGACGCUGAGGUGCGAAAGCGUGGGUAGCAAACAGGAUUAGAUACCCUAGUAGUC
rnacentral:rRNA from 1 species